GAUGAACGCUGGCGGCGUGCUUAACACAUGCAAGUCGAACGGACAGAGGGAGCUUGCUCCCGAAGUUAGUGGCGGACGGGUGAGUAAUGUAUGAGCAACCUGCCUUUCAGAGGGGGACAACAGUUGGAAACGACUGCUAAUACCGCAUGACAUGUACUGUUCGCAUGGACGGUACAUCAAAGGAGCAAUCCGCUGAAAGAUGGGCUCAUAUCUGAUUAGAUAGUUGGUGAGGUAACGGCUCACCAAGUCUGCGAUCAGUAGCCGGACUGAGAGGUUGAACGGCCACAUUGGAACUGAGAUACGGUCCAGACUCCUACGGGAGGCAGCAGUGAGGGAUAUUGGGCAAUGGGCGAAAGCCUGACCCAGCAACGCCGCGUGAAGGAAGAAGGUCUUCGGAUUGUAAACUUUUGUCUUAUGGGACGAUAAUGACGGUACCAUAGGAGGAAGCCACGACUAACUACGUG
rnacentral:rRNA from 1 species